rnacentral:antisense_RNA from 1 species
AGCAGGGACACCAAGGCAGACAAGGGAGGGUCCAGUGCCAGGGGAUUCGGAGGGGCUUCAGGCGGACCACGUGGCUUUUUUUCCAUGGCCAGACUUUGGCGGUAUGUGAGGUCUGAGGACAGGGGCACUGGAGGCAAAGGACGAGACACCAGUGCCUGUUUCCAGGCAGCCAGGGCCUCAGAAACUCCGGCACCAACACUCAACAGUCCGUAGAGGCCAUUACCAGGGCCACCUUAUUUGUGAGUGGGUCCCGGCGGGUCAUCCCGGAGCUGGCCAUCCGCACCAACUUCCAUGCCCGGGCACAGAGGCCUAGCUGCCCCGCCUUGUGCAUGGCUCAGACCAGCAAGUAUGGGUUCCACUCCUUCCAGCAGAGGUGACAGAGAGUAGGGCAAGGGGCAGGACGAAGGGCGGGCCGCUUCCCUGCCUGCCCCCUCCCCGCCCUCGGCCAGCUGGGAGUCGUCUGUGGCGGUUGGCGCCUCCUGCCGCCCGCCAGUCGCCGUGCCCCGCAGCCAGCUACCUUCCACCUGACUGGGGCUUGCCUUCCUGGGCUGGCGG